CGUAUAUUAAAGUUGUUGCAGUUAAAAAGCUCGUAGUUGGAUUUGUGGUGUGUGGUGUGUUCCGGGCACUUGUUGUCCGAGUAACACGCUGCUGCCAUCCUUGGGUGGAACCUGUAUGGCAUUAGGUUGUCGUGCAGGGGAUGCCCAUCUUUUACUGUGAAAAAAUUAGAGUGUUCAAAGCAGGCUUAUGCCGUUGAAUAUAUUAGCAUGGAAUAAUGAGAUAGGACUUUUUCGCUAUUUUGUUGGUUUGCGCGAAGAGGUAAUGAUUAAUAGGGACAGUUGGGGG
rnacentral:rRNA from 1 species